CUGUGACCUCCACAGAUGGAAUCUGCC
rnacentral:piRNA from 1 species